rnacentral:rRNA from 1 species
UUGAACGCUGGCGGCAGGCCUAACACAUGCAAGUCGAGCGGUAGAGAGAAGCUUGCUUCUCUUGAGAGCGGCGGACGGGUGAGUAAUGCCUAGGAAUCUGCCUGGUAGUGGGGGAUAACGUUCGGAAACGGACGCUAAUACCGCAUACGUCCUACGGGAGAAAGCAGGGGACCUUCGGGCCUUGCGCUAUCAGAUGAGCCUAGGUCGGAUUAGCUAGUUGGUGAGGUAAUGGCUCACCAAGGCGACGAUCCGUAACUGGUCUGAGAGGAUGAUCAGUCACACUGGAACUGAGACACGGUCCAGACUCCUACGGGAGGCAGCAGUGGGGAAUAUUGGACAAUGGGCGAAAGCCUGAUCCAGCCAUGCCGCGUGUGUGAAGAAGGUCUUCGGAUUGUAAAGCACUUUAAGUUGGGAGGAAGGGCCAUUACCUAAUACGUGAUGGUUUUGACGUUACCGACAGAAUAAGCACCGGCUAACUCUGU